rnacentral:rRNA from 1 species
GGAAUUACUGGGCGUAAAGGGCGCGUAGGCGGUUCGCUAAGUUGGAUGUGAAAACUCUGGGCUCAACCCAGAGCCUGCAUCCAAAACUGGCGGGCUAGAGUUCUGGAGGGGGUAGCGGAAUUCCUGGUGUAGCGGUGAAAUGCGUAGAUAUCAGGAGGAACACCGGUGGCGAAGGCGGUUCUCUGGGCAUUACCUGACGCUGAGGAGCGAAAGUGUGGGGAGCGAACAGG